rnacentral:rRNA from 1 species
UCGCAAGAGUGAACUAGCUAACUGAAAUCAUAGAAUUUUUUAAAAUUCAUGAUGUCGUAAGGGAAAAUAAUGAUAAUACCUUACUAUGAGUGUCGUCCAAAUCUGGUGCCAGAAGACUCGGUAAGACCAGAGACGCAAACGUUAAUCAUCAUAAACAGGCGUAAAGGGUUUGUAGGCAGCUUUCACCAAACUAUGAUUACAAAAUAAAGUAGUUUAAUUGAAAGCUAGAAUCAAAAAGAGGUUAUAGUGUAUAACGCCUAGAGGAGGGCUGAUAUCCAUAGAUCCUAGGCAGAAUACUCAGGGCGAAGGCCACUCUCCACUACUGAUUGACGCUGAGAAACGAAGGUUAGGGUAGGAAAUAGGAUUAGAUACCCCGGUACUCCUUUCUGUAAACGAUGAAUGGUAGUCAUUAGUUUUAUAACUAGAGACGAAGUUAACACAAUAACCAUUCCGCCUUGUGAGUACUACUGCAAAGUAGAAAACAAAAAAAUUAGUCGGUCUCGAAGCAAACGGAGUGAAGCAU